UAUGCGAGUCUCGAUUCCUCUGUACCUUGUCAUGCUGCGUUUAUUUACACUGACCGUGCUUAUUUAAGUUAUUCACUUGAAGCGCAAACAGAACAGACCUUCUUAGUACUCUUGUCAGCCGCACAUUCGUUCUUGUACUAGCAGUACCUUGCUAAUAGGAAGGAGAGGCUUUAGUUUAUUUUAAAAUGGCAUUUAAGGAAACAUCGUGCUCGGCCUUUUCAGCAGCUAAUCUCAUAAUAUAUGCUUUUUCAGUCUAUUAGGAACAACAACACGGCUUUUACACGGUGAACUCAGGAACCGAAGGAACGUCACGCAGCAGACGCAGCAGAGUGCCAUCGCUGUGAGCUUGUAAACAAGUUUAGAAUCAUCCUUCCUCCUAUUCAGGGUCGCGGAGGAUCCAGAUCCAUUCCCCCUGUGAACACCGGGUGCGAGAGCAGAGCUAAUGAAGCACGCACGCUUCAGGAACGGCCUCAGCUGAAGAAAAACAGAGCAGUUCGACUCCAGAAUGGUUUGCUGCUGGAUGGAUCGUACUCAAAGCGCUGGGACGCCAGGUAAUCUUCCCAAACACAUGUUUAGCAGAGAGUGGGAGCUGAGAGACAGACAGUAUAAAAUUUACAAUAUUAAACUCAACUUUAAAUCAUUGCAGUCACCCUGGUCAACUGGAAAUCCCUAGCGCUAAGCCAAAGUAGCUGGACUUAUCUUAAACAUGCGUCAUCAUUCAUACCGGAUAGUAGGUAUACAUAAGGAAUAAAUCACUGGUUAUAGGGAAAUAAUCAGUGACAGGGCGGUGUGAUGCUGCCUGAUGUAAAGAGAUGUUACUCUUACCACCCUGAAGGUUAAUCAUUUUCAUAUAACAGCACACCUCAAAGUUUAUUCCUCUUAUA